GACGUAGGGCGCGAGCGUUGUCCGGAUUUAUUGGGCGUAAAGAGCUCGUAGGCGGUUUGUCGCGUCUGCUGUGAAAACUCGGGGCUUAACCCUGGGCCUGCAGUGGGUACGGGCAGACUAGAGUGCGGUAGGGGAGACUGGAAUUCCUGGUGUAGCGGUGAAAUGCGCAGAUAUCAGGAGGAACACCGGUGGCGAAGGCGGGUCUCUGGGCCGUAACUGACGCUGAGGAGCGAAAGCGUGGGGAGCGAACAGG
rnacentral:rRNA from 1 species